rnacentral:rRNA from 1 species
GAUGAACGCUGGCGGCGUGCCUAAUACAUGCAAGUCGAGCGAACAGAUGAGGAGCUUGCUCCUCUGACGUUAGCGGCGGACGGGUGAGUAACACGUGGAUAACCUACCUAUAAGACUGGGAUAACUUCGGGAAACCGGAGCUAAUACCGGAUAAUAUAUUGAACCGCAUGGUUCAAUAGUGAAAGACGGUUUUGCUGUCACUUAUAGAUGGAUCCGCGCCGCAUUAGCUAGUUGGUAAGGUAACGGCUUACCAAGGCAACGAUGCGUAGCCGACGUGAGAGAGGGGUCGGCCGCCUGAGAGCUUGAACGGCGUCCAGGCGACUACGGGACGGCGCAGUAGGGAAUGUGACGCAGUAGUGGGAAACCUUGCGCAGCGACCGCGCGUCUGAUGUAGAAGCGCUGCGUGCGGUAUACCGUCUUUUUGGGUGAAAACCAAUUUGGCAGGUAACGAAGCCGGCUUGACGGUAACGGGUAAAGAAGCCCCGGCUAACUACGUG